UUUAAUUCGAUUAUUUUAUCAAACGAACUUGAACAUCAUAAAAUUUAACUCAUUUAUCUCCCUAAUUGUAGUGUAAAAGCACUUAUAGAUAGAUAGAUCCUCUAAGUAAUCUUGAACAUCAUAAAAUUUAACUCCUUUAACUCGUUUACCUCCCCAAGUGUAGUGUAAAAGCACUUCCAGAUAGAGGAACUAACAAGGAAGGCCGUUUACGUUCAGAUUAGUCAGACAUAAGGUGACUGAUUGAAUGCCACUACUAACAACUCUGUCCCUGAAACUAAAAUAUAGCUGACCACUAGAGUAGAAUGUCAUUUGCUCAAACAUGAUGAAUUCAAUUCCUGGGACCUGAAGCUACGAGUUAUGUGGACUUUUGAGGUUCCUGAAUCAAUUGAUUGGCAUGUUAUCAGCUAGCCAUCAUUCCAAAAUCUUAUACAGUAUGACAGAUCACGGCCACCAAAAGAAGGAAAAUGACAGAAGAAACACAAUGGCCUACUUGAAAAUUUAGAAGAGUAUUUUUUUUUUGCAACUAGUUAAUAAAUAAUGAUUUAGCCCACACAAGAAACAAGUGAGCAGUAUGCUUCCUGUUUAAUUAAUAGCUAAGUAGACUCUUUCCUUCAUCUUUUUCUCAAUGUCACAAAACUCGGAAGGAUUAUCUCUCUUCUUCCAACCAAACCAAGCUUUGAGAACUUGUUACGACUCUGCGAUGGCCUAUUUCUUUCCAUGGACAAAACUAAUACGAAGGAGUCUUCGUCAUAUCGCAUGAGAUAUUCCUAGAGGAGCUCCAAGAUGAGAGUUAUCACCUUGUACUACAUUAACUGUUAAAAAAUAAGGUGAAAGAAGGCUGGUCGCAGAGGAGAUAGAGCUGAUAAUCAACUUCCUUUUCAAAUCGCAUGAGACAUUUCCAGAAGGGCUCCGAGAUGAGAGUUAUCAUUUUUUACUAUCGUAGUUGCUAAAAACCCAAGGUGAAAGGCUUGUAGUUGCUAAAACCCCAAAAAUGUGCGUAAAACAUGCUCAUGAACAACUUUUGAAAGGGAAAAGGUUAUGGAAGAGGAAAACGGGAUUGAAGUAAAAGGAUAAGAACUUACAGACA